rnacentral:rRNA from 1 species
UACGUAGGGUGCGAGCGUAAUCGGAAUUACUGGGCGUAAAGCGUGCGCAGGCGGUUUUGUAAGCCAGAUGUGAAAUCCCCGGGCUUAACCUGGGAAUGGCAUUUGGGACUGCAAGGCUUGAGUGCGGCAGAGGAGACUGGAAUUCCUGGUGUAGCAGUGAAAUGCGUAGAUAUCAGGAGGAACACCGAUGGCGAAGGCAGGUCUCUGGGCUGACACUGACGCUCAUGCACGAAAGCGUGGGGAGCGAA